rnacentral:tRNA from 1 species
GCCUUCGUGGUAUAAUUGGAAGCAUAUUCGACUCAUAUUCGAGAGGUCCAGGGUUCGAGUCCCAGCGCGAGUA